GAUGAACGCUAGCGGGAGGCUUAAUACAUGCAAGUCGAGGGGCAGCAUGACUGAACCUAGUUUAGUUGAUGGCGACCGGCGCACGGGUGAGUAACGCGUACGCAACUUACCUCCGAGUGGGGCAUAGCCCUGGGAAACUGGGAUUAAUACCCCAUAGUAUUCAGAAACCGCAUGGUUUUUGGAUUAAAGUGUUAGCGCUCGGAGAUAGGCGUGCGUCCUAUUAGCUAGUUGGUGAGGUAACGGCUCACCAAGGCUUCGAUAGGUAGGGGGCGUGAGAGCGUGACCCCCCACACGGGUACUGAGACACGGACCCGACUCCUACGGGAGGCAGCAGUAAGGAAUAUUGGACAAUGGGCGAAAGCCUGAUCCAGCCAUCCCGCGUGCAGGAUGACGGCCCUAUGGGUUGUAAACUGCUUUUAUUUGGGAAGAAACCUAGUCCAUCUGGACUAGCUGACGGUACCAUAUGAAUAAGCACCGGCUAACUCCG
rnacentral:rRNA from 1 species